UUGAACGCUGGCGGCAUGCUUUACCCAUGCCAGUCGCACGGUAACAGGCCGCAAGGUGCUGACGAGUGGCGAACGGGUGAGUAAUGCAUCGGAACGUGCCCAGUCGUGGGGGAUAACUACUCGAAAGAGUAGCUAAUACCGCAUACGAUCUAUGGAUGAAAGCGGGGGACCGUAAGGCCUCGCGCGAUUGGAGCGGCCGAUGUCAGAUUAGGUAGUUGGUGGGGUAAAGGCUCACCAAGCCAACGAUCUGUAGCUGGUCUGAGAGGACAACCAGCCACACUGGGACUGAGACACGGCCCAGACUCCUACGGGAGGCAGCAGUGGGGAAUUUUGGACAAUGGGCGCAAGCCUGAUCCAGCAAUGCCGCGUGCAGGAAGAAGGCCUUCGGGUUGUAAACUGCUUUUGUACGGAACGAAACGGCUCUGGUUAAUACCCGGGGCUAAUGACGGUACCGUAAGAAUAAGCACCGGCUAACUACGUG
rnacentral:rRNA from 1 species